CGAGAAAGCGUCAUUCUGGCGCGUGAGUAUAAGUGGCGAACGGGUGAGUAUACGCGUGGGUAACUUGUCCCUGAAUCUGGAGUAACUUCGCGAAAGCGAGGCUAAUACCGGAUAUUGUCCCAGGGAUUGUGGUGCGUGUGAUGAAAGAUGAGCACUUCACGAAAGUUGUCGUUCAGGGAGGGGCCCGCGUACCAUUAGCUAGUUGGUAGGGUAAUGGCCUACCAAGGCGAUGAUGGUUAGCUGGUCUGAGAGGAUGACCAGCCACACUGGCACUGAAACACGGUCCAGACUCCUACGGGAGGCAGCAGUGAGGAAUUUUGCGCAAUAGGGGAAACCCUGACGCAGCAACGCCGCGUGAGUGAAGAAGGCCCUCGGGUCGUAAAGCUCUGUCAAGUGGGAAAAAAGCUUGCUGGUAAAUAGCCAGCAAGACUGAUGGUACCAUUGAAGGAAGCACCGGCUAACUCCGUGCCAGCAGCCGCGGUAAUACGGAGGGUGCAAGCGUUGUUCGGAAUUACUGGGCGUAAAGGGCGUGUAGGCGGUGUGGUAAGUCAGAUGUGAAAGCCCUGGGUUUAACCCAGGAAGUGCAUUUGAAACUGCCAUGCCUGAGUAUGGGAGAGGAGAGUGGAAUUCCCAGUGUAGAGGUGAAAUUCGUAGAUAUUGGGAGGAACACCCGUGGCGAAGGCGACUCUCUGGACCAAUACUGACGCUGAGGCGCGAAAGCGUGGGGAGCAAACAGGAUUAGAUACCCUGGUAGUCCACGCUGUAAACGAUGAGCACUAGGUGUAGCGGGUAUUGACCCCUGCUGUGCCGUAGCUAACGCAUUAAGUGCUCCGCCUGGGGAGUACGGCCGCAAGGCUAAAACUCAAAUGAAUUGACGG
rnacentral:rRNA from 1 species